CUCAGUAUGAGGUCCAGAGAGUCCCAGUCCCUCCUGGAUCCUGAUGGGGUUGGGACCGGGCUGGCCUUCAGCAGACCCAAACACCUCAGCAGAACCACAGAGGAGGAUGAGCAGAACCCUCACAGACACAGACCCAAACCCACCGUGUUCACCAAUAAAGAAGCUCCUGAAUGGUACAGGAAAGUCAAGUUCCAGCCUGAAUGACCAAUGAGUGGCCUUACAGGUGGUGCAGAUGGGAUUUGUGUAGACACUCCAAACUGGUUUUAUUUACACUACUGUAUUGACAGGGAAGAGUGAGCUGGAUAAGUACCUCUCCCCUCAGACGCACCUCCUG
rnacentral:lncRNA from 1 species